rnacentral:rRNA from 1 species
GACGAACCGUACGAACGUUAUUCGGAAUUACUGGGCUUAAAGGGUGCGUAGGCGGCGCGGUAAGUCGGGUGUGAAAUCUCGGAGCUUAACUCCGAAACUGCAUUCGAUACUGCCGUGCUUGAGGACUGGAGAGGAGACUGGAAUUUACGGUGUAGCGGUGAAAUGCGUAGAUAUCGUAAGGAAGACCAGUGGCGAAGGCGGGUCUCUGGACAGUUCCUGACGCUGAGGCACGAAGGUCAGGGGAGCAAACGGG